AGAAUUAAUAACAUGUUUGAGUCCAAAAAGAUAGUAUUAUAUGCUGGGGCCAACUUUAAAAAAAAAAAAAUAGAGAUCCCUGGGUGGCUCAGUGGUUCAGCACCUGCCUUCCGCCCAGGGCGUGAUCCCGGAGUCCCGGGAUCGAGUCCCAUAUCGGGCUCCCAGCAUGGAGCCUGCUUCUCCCUCUGCCUCUCUCUCUCUCUCUCUCUCUCUCUCUGUGUGUGUGUUUAUCAUGAAUAAAUAAAUAUUAUUUAAAAAUAUAGAAGUUGUGAUAUGAAAAAUAAAUGACUAAGGCAAAACAUAAAAUUAAUCAAUAGGGCGUCCUGAAGAGCAUGUCAGUGAUGCCAAUGAUCAGAAGUCCUGGCUCAGGUUUAGGGAUUCCAAUGUUGUCAUGAACCAGCUCUCACGUUGAACAAACCACUUUUCCUUUCUGGCAUCAUUUUCCCCAGCACGUAAAAUCAGGUAUGGUAUAUUGAAUAGAGACACCACAAUUUACAGAUGACGUGAUUCCCCACAUCCUUUUGUUGCUAACAUUUUAGGGCGCUGAGCGCAGGUUUCUGCCAGUGGAUAUUCUUGAGGCUAACAGUAACUUGAAAACAAAGCGAUGGCAUGACGUGCACAUGCGGAAUGUGCUUUUAUAGCAUAUAAUACAAUAAAAAUACUUUUCUUAAAUAAUCCAUGACAGAUGAAUUCAUCUUCUCUUUAGAAAAAUCUAAUCAAAUGUUAAGACGCCUCUUUCCAGCACCAAGAGCUACAACCCUCCUUGUCCUCGGAAACAAACAAAUGAAACUUCGUGUUCCCAGGGAUGGCGAGUCAAGUUGAAACCUGUUGUCACAGCCCUGCGGAAAAUGUGGAUCCGUAAGAUUUCAUGCCAGACGUUGGGUGCCAGACAUCUUGCAAUGGGGAGUGGAGGGGGGAGGGCAAGAAAACUAGUGGUUAAAUGGGAGGACGGAAUGGGAGAAAAUAUGAUUGUACUCCUAGCCACCCAGACGGCAUUCUUCUCUGACACAUUUGUGAUAUGGAUCUCAGCCCAGAGGAAAGUCCAGGAUGAGAAGCCAGGCAUGGGCUUGAAUAAUUUUCAUUUGGAAAUAAACUACCUCAAUCAUGGAAAAAGUUCCUACAGCCUACAGGCUCUCAUCUUCCCUCUGCCAGCAUGCGGGACCCAGGAGCUCCAACUAUUCUAAGGGGAUGAAGCAAGAGUUUACUCAACUUUGUCCUGCUUUUGCUUAGAAGUAGACUCUUUCGUGGAAUGGAUAAUAAUUUUGAGCAGUAGUUGUUCUACUCCUGGUGUUCUCCAUCAUCUUGAGACAGUGACGCUGUAAAGUGAAGUCAGUAUGGGUCGAACAGGGCUCAGGUCCUGCUCUACCUCCUAGGGCAAGUCUCCUAGCCCGUGGAGACUUCAAUUUCCUCCACUGUUGCUGGAGAUCAUUUCCAAGGUCCUCUCCUUCCAGAGCCUAGGACCGAACUCUUCUUUGUCAGGAGAAACAAAAUUUAGAAAACAAGCCAGCACUCAUUUUAUUUUAAUGCUCCUCAUUGUUAAGAAAUCAAAUCUUGAGGCUGCCACUAUGGAGAGAGCAACUGAGUUUUUAAUGUAAUCAAUAGCUUGAGCAUGAACCUGCCCUGGGUAUCAGCAGUCUUGGCUUUAAAUUCUAGUUUGUUUGGUUGUUG
rnacentral:lncRNA from 12 species